UACGUAGGGUGCAAGCGUUAAUCGGAAUUACUGGGCGUAAAGCGUGCGCAGGCGGUGAUGUAAGACAGGUGUGAAAUCCCCGGGCUUAACCUGGGAACUGCCAUUGAUACUGCUUCACUUGAGUGCAGUUGAGGUGGGUGGAAUUCCAUGUGUAACGGUGAAAUGCUUAGAUAUAUGGAGGAACACCGAUAACGAAGGUAACUCACUAAACUGUAACUGACGCUGAGGUACGAAAGCGUGGGGAGCAAACGGG
rnacentral:rRNA from 1 species